rnacentral:rRNA from 1 species
CUCCGCCUACGGGAGGCAGCAGUGGGGGAUAUUGCACAAUGGGGGAAACCCUGAUGCAGCGACGCCGCGUGGGCGAAGAAGUAUUUCGGUAUGUAAAGCCCUAUCAGCAGGGAAGAAGAAAUGACGGUACCUGAGUAAGAAGCACCGGCUAAAUACGUGCCAGCAGCCGCGGUAAUACGUAUGGUGCAAGCGUUAUCCGGAUUUACUGGGUGUAAAGGGAGCGUAGACGGUCCUGCAAGCCAGAUGUGAAAGCCCGGGGCUCAACCACGGGACUGCAUUUGGAACUGUAAGGCUAGAGUGUCGGG